rnacentral:rRNA from 1 species
UGCAGUCGAGCGAUGAAGCUUCUUCGGAAGUGGAUUAGCGGCGGACGGGUGAGUAACACGUGGGUAACCUACCUCAUAGAGGGGAAUAGCCUUUCGAAAGGAAGAUUAAUACCGCAUAAGAUUGUAAUGUCGCAUGACAUAGCAAUUAAAGGAGUAAUCCGCUAUGAGAUGGACCCGCGUCGCAUUAGCUAGUUGGUGAGGUAACGGCUCACCAAGGCGACGAUGCGUAGCCGACCUGAGAGGGUGAUCGGCCACAUUGGGACUGAGACACGGCCCAGACUCCUACGGGAGGCAGCAGUGGGGAAUAUUGCACAAUGGGGGAAACCCUGAUGCAGCAACGCCGCGUGAGUGAUGACGGCCUUCGGGUUGUAAAACUCUGUCUUUGGGGACGAUAAUGACGGUACCCAAGGAGGAAGCCACGGCUAACUACGUGCCAGCAGCCGCGGUAAUACGUAGGUGGCAAGCGUUGUCCGGAUUUACUGGG